rnacentral:tRNA from 1 species
UGCGGGGUAGAGCAGCCCGGUAGCUCGUCUGGCUCAUAACCAGAAGGUCGGCGGUUCAAAUCCGUCCUCCCGCAACCA